UUUUGUUGACCACGCACCCUGAUCAUACCUAACCCUCCCUUUUCUACAGACUUGCAAAUGGCUGUUCUUUUAAUCUUCUCCUUAGCCUUUCGGUUCGAGAACUUUGUCUGCCAUAAAAAUUUGAAAAACAGUGUGUCAAUGUAGCUAGUGACCUCGUCAGGUAAAAACAGUGCUUGCAUGAUAUACGAAAUUUGCGACAGCAAGAAAGUCUUACAGAGUAUUACCUUUCCAUAGAGUGAAUGGUUUCUCUUUUGCCACAUUUUCAUGAUAUUUUUAAUUGUUUCUAACUUUCCUUUCCAAUUUAGAUCAAUUUUAGAAGCCUCCUCGACUGCACUAAAAUAAAUCCCAAGUAUCUUCAUUUUGCCACCAGUUGCCAUCCAGGCAAUAUUCCCUGCAGUCUGAUCAUUAUGUUUACUCCUACCUAUCCACAUGUCCUUUGAUUUCAGCUUAUUGAGUCUCAGGCCCGAAAUCCUAGAGAAGUUAUCAAUGUUCCUGAGGGCAACAACAAGAUCAUGUUGGUCUCUCAAUAACAGCGUAGUAUCAUCUGCGAAUUGAAGAAUCUUACCCAGAUGCACUGUCCUUUCACUUCUCUGUAAUGACAGACCGUUUAUAUCUUUAUUACUUCUUAUUUUUAUGGCCAUCAAUUCAACUACAAGGACAAAAAGAAGUGGACUGGCGCAGCACCCCUGUUUAACUCCAUGCUCUAUGUUAAACCAGCCAGACAACCACCCCCCAUUUUGCACACAGCACUCUGUGUUAGUGAUAAUGGUUUUAAUCAUAUUUAUAAACUGACCACCAAAAUUGAACUUUCUCAAAGCAGCUAAAAUUGAUCUCUUUUCAAUUGCAGGGCUGCCUAAAUCUACCGAUUUUUCCGGUAGAUACCGAUUUUGGGCCUGUUCUACCGACAUACCGAUAAGGUCUCAAAACUACCGGAUUUGCGAUGGGUUCCGAGAGAAUAAACAGAAAAAAACC